rnacentral:rRNA from 1 species
GAUGAACGCUAGCUACAGGCUUAACACAUGCAAGUCGAGCGACCGGCGCGCGGGCGAGUAACACGUAUCAACCCCGCCCUUUACUCGGGGAUAGCCAUUCGCAAGAAAGAUUAAUACCCGAUAUAACGGAUGGGGAUGCGUUCCAUUAGGGUGUUGGUGAGGUAACUGCCCACCAAGCCUUCGAUGGAUAGGGGUUCGGAGAGGAAGGUCCCCCACAUUGGAACUGAGACACGGUCUCAACGCUGAGGGGAGGCAGGAGUGAGUAAGAGUGGGGAAUGGGCGGUAGCCUGAACCUGCCAAGUAGCGUGAAGGAUGAAUGCUUAUGGGUGGUAAACUUCUUUUAUAUAAGAAGAGUUAUUAUAUGAAUAAGGAUCGGCUAACUCCGUGCCAGCAGCCGCGGUAAUUC